rnacentral:snRNA from 1 species
UCAUGUGAGGGAGACCUGGCUACUACAUUUGUGACUCCAUUGGUCUCCAGAGUUGAUUCAGCUGCUCUGGCUGUUGCAAGAAUGUCUGCUUCCUCAUUACCACUCCGCAAAAGUCAUUCCUGAAGUUUUACACUCAAAGGAUGACCUCUUCCAAAUAGAGGGAAAUGGUAUCCAGUCCAGGGGAUCUGAGCGCCUUCCCUCCCCAGAUAGAACCUCCAAAUAAGCUCUCAAAAUCCAAAAAGCUAUAAAAUCUGAAACACCUGGUUCAAACCAUUCAGGUAAAAGAUAUUGUGACAUUUUGUUUGUAAUC